rnacentral:misc_RNA from 1 species
AACGCACAUUGCGCCCUUUGGUAUUCCGAAGGGCAUGCCUGUCUGAGCGUCAAUAAAUCAAUCAAACCUUGGUUUGGUAUUGGGAGAAGAGGUUUUUGUCUCUCUCCUUUAAGCUAUUGGCGACGCUAUUUCAGCUUGUAAGACGUAGUAAGUAAUUUCUCGUUAAAGCAACUGUAUGGCUGUCUGCCAAAUGAACGAUUUAUUUUACAGCUUGACCUCAGAUCAGGUAGGGAUACCCCCUGAACUUAA